GAGGGGCCGUGAGGGCUGCCCGCGCUCAGGGCCUGACGGGCGUGAGGGGUCCCGGCUGAGGAAGCCCCGGACAGUAGGAUGGCCCCUCCAGUUUGCCUCCACCAGAACCACUUUCAGAAGUACAAGGGAAGUGAAGGAAAAAUGUUUACAAACUUUGGUGAAAAGCCAAAUGCAAAGCCUUCUCCAGCUGAGGCAAGUUUAACUGAGGCUCAUCCUUCUGGACCUGCUGACAUCUGGGACUCUGACAUUGUGCCGUGCUGUCCAUGGAGAUAAGAGGAAUUCGAGACAAAGCACGACAUUUGAAAAAAGCUGAGACUCCAGGCUGAAAGCAACCAUAUUUUAUGACCCUGGCAGCGAAGAGUUUAUAGCACUCGCCAUAAAAUGCAUCCUCCUCCCCACAUCCUCCCUGCUAAAGCUGUGCCCCCCCUCCAAUAAAGGCAGCCAAGGAGGCACCACCUUCUACCCUCUUGUUAGGAGACACGAAGUCUGAAGGCUCCGCUGUCCCUGGCUUCCUACCUGGGCGAGGGAGGGCAGGCUGACGCCUUCUACAGAAAAGAUCUUGUUAAACUUUCAACAGAGGGCAACGGGAGGGAAAGCAGAAAGGAAGGAAAGAGAGAAGGAGAGAGAAACAAAUGGGGCUUUUUCUAAUCUGUGCCGAUCAAGGAGAACCUGUAGGGGUCCUUAAGGAGGUUUCAAGGCGUUCCGAGUGAUUGGAAAGUAAUCACCGUGUCAGCUUCACCUUUCUCAUGCAAAGUGGAUGUCGUAUGCGAGGCGGAUCCUGCACAGGUUUUUUUUCUUCUUCUUGGGUUUAGCUUUUUUUUUUUUUUUUACUUUAUUUUAUCCUGGGAUUCAGCCGCCCCCAAGCCCCAGCUGCCGCGGCCCCAGGAGCCGGCGCGGCGGGGGGAGCGGAGCCGGCACAGACAGACGCACACUCAGCGCUGCUCGGCACAGCGAGCCGAGCCGACCUAUUGCAAACCCAGACCAGAGGGCGGCGAGGAGGGGGGGAUUUUUCAGGCCCCCCUCUUCAAUGGCUUAGAUAUUUCCUCCCCCUCCUCCUCCUUUAUUCCGCGCUCGGAUAAACCAAUCUCCACCUCUCGGCAAGAAAGUGAGGAGCCGCGACCCGCUGGAGCAGCGGAGAGUCCCCGGAGGGAGCGGCGGCAGCGAGAGGCGCCCGGGACAUGUGCGAGGGGCCGCGGUGACCGCCCGGCCGUGCCCGCAGCAGCUCCGCGGGCACCGCUGGGCCGGGCGGCGGCGGCGAGGAGCGCGGCGCGGGCGGGCGGGCAGGCGCGCCGCCAAAGUGGAAGCCCGGCGAGCAGAAAGUUGCCGCGCUGCCCGCAGUGAGUCGGGCGGCUGUGCGGAGCGGGGCCGCGCUCCC